rnacentral:rRNA from 1 species
GCGCACGGGUGAGUAACGCGUGGAUAAUCUACCCUUAAGUUGGGAAUAACGUACCGAAAGGUGCGCUAAUACCGAAUAAUACUGCAUAACUACUGUUGUGUAGUCAAAGAAGGCCUCUGUUUACAAGCUUUUGCUGAAGGAUGAGUCCGCGUACCAUUAGCUAGUUGGUAGGGUAAUGGCCUACCAAGGCGACGAUGGUUAGCUGGUCUGAGAGGAUGAUCAGCCACACUGGAACUGAGACACGGUCCAGACUCCUACGGGAGGCAGCAGUGAGGAAUAUUGCGCAAUGGGGGCAACCCUGACGCAGCAACGCCGCGUGAGUGAGGAAGGUUUUCGGAUCGUAAAGCUCUGUCGAGCGGGAAGAAAUGCAUGGUGGCUAAUAUCCAUUAUGCUUGACGGUACCGCUAAAGGAAGCACCGGCUAACUCCGUGCCAGCAGCCGCGGUAAUACGGGGGGGUGCUAGCGUUGUUCGGAAUUAUUGGGCGUAAAGAGCGUGUAGGCGGCUGAAUAAGUCAGAUGUGAAAGCCCUGGGCUUAACCCAGGAAGUGCAUUUGAAACUAUUCGGCUUGAGUAGGGGAGAGGAAAGUGGAAUUCCUGGUGUAGAGGUGAAAUUCGUAGAUAUCAGGAGGAACACCGAUGGCGAAGGCGACUUUCUGGCCCUAUACUGACGCUGAGACGCGAGAGCGUGGGUAGCAUACAGGAUUAGAUACCCUGGUAGUCCACGCUGUAAACGAUGUCAACUGGCUGUUGGGUG